GUGCACCUGCCAUAAGAAGUCCUUGGUGGAAACAGCAUGCAGAAGGAGUCUCAAGGCCUUGAAGCUGAACUAUUUGGACCUCUACCUCAUACACUGGCCCAUGGGUUUCAAGCCUCCUCAUCCAGAAUGGAUCAUGAGCUGCAGUGAACUUUCCUUCUGCCUCUCACAUCCUAGAGUGCAGGACUUGCCUCUGGACGAGAGCAACAUGGUCAUUCCCAGUGACACGGACUUCCUGGACACAUGGGAGGCCAUGGAGGACCUGGUGAUCACCGGGCUGGUGAAGAACAUCGGUGUGUCAAACUUCAACCAUGAACAGCUUGAGAGGCUUUUGAAUAAGCCUGGGUUGAGGUUCAAGCCACUAACCAACCAGAUUUUGAUCCGAUUUCAAAUCCAGAGGAACGUGAUAGUGAUCCCCGGAUCUAUCACCCCAAGUCACAUUAAAGAGAAUAUCCAGGUCUGCUACACACUGAGGGGAAAUGCCAUCCUCA
rnacentral:sRNA from 1 species